AGUAGAACCAAUCCCUCUGGCAGCUCAAGGAAUACCAGAGGAAGGAAAAACAGCCACGUAGGCUUGGCAAAAUUAUUAGUUGAGCUAUUCUGUCUCCUUGUGAUAUAGAAAAGACAACUUGAGGACAAAAACAGAGAACCUGAAGUUUCCCUUUAUAAUCCUGAUCUACAACUCCAGGGUGGACAAUAAGACCUUGUAGGCUGCAAGAGCCUGCCUCUGUCAUUCUGGCCACAAAAUCUGAGAAGGACUCCUGAGGUCCCUGGAUGAUCUUUGUUAGUUGUCCAGUGGCUUCACCUGCUCGGGAGAGCGCCUUCCAGGCCCUAAUAGCCAUGGAGGAGAUUUGGGCAUAAGCUCCCCAGUGGUAGUUUGUUUGAUCAGCAGUAUAAGCUCCCUGACCCAUUAACAAGUCAAAAAUCCAAUCUCUCUGCUCUGGAGUCAAAGCAGCAGCGUUUGCUCGGGCCUGCGCUUGUGCAGCCUCUUGCCAUAGAGCUCUCCAUUCCAUAUAUUUGCCCAUACUAGGGAGAGCGGCUUUUGCAAUCAUUUGCCAGUCGGCAGAAGUUAGUGCCAUGCCGGCAAGCCUGUCUAACUGCACCAAGAUUCCAGUUUAUCGUGCCUAAGGAAUGGAACAGCAGGUACCGACCUGUGUGCAUUCAUCUGGCUGGAACAGGAGACCAUCAUUACUGGAGGCGCAGAACACUCAUGGCUCGUCCUAUGAUUAAGGAGGCCAGGAUGGCUUCAUUGUUGUUAGAAAACCCUUAUUAUAUCCUUUUGUGAUACUCAAAACAUUUCUUUCUCUCUGUUUAUGUACUUACUCUUCAAAAGAAGAACAUCCUGUGCUCUCAACCACUGAGCCAUCUCUCCAGCCCCCAUGGUAACUAACUUUUCAAAACUAGUUAAAUUCAUAUAUCAUUUCAGAAAAUUAUUAGAAAGAAUGAAAAAGAAGAAAAUACUGUUUAUGCCCUUUUAAAAAGAAAUGUAAUGGAAAGCAGAGUUCAAGGCGAGCUUUGGAUGCAUAAUAAGUUUGAGGCCAACCUCAGCUGCAAAAAAUCCUGGCUCAAAAAAACAAAAAACCAAAAACCAACAACAAAGAGUAAAGGCCAGAUAUAGUGGUGCAUGCCUUUUAUCCCAGGAGGUUUUCUGUGAAUUUGAGGCAUAGCAAUUUCCAAGACAGCCACAACUACUCUAUAUUAAAAACAAAAACAAAAACAAAAAACAAAAACGUAAAGAGUGCGCCAUGUAUGGUGGUAAAUUCCUGUAAUGAGCUCAUAAGUUUGAAGCAGAAAGGUUGUGAGGUGCAACCAGCAUUAGAUGUAUAAUGAGACUAAUGUACACAUUUUUUAAUUGGAUGUUUUAUUUAUUUAAAUUUCAAAUGUUAUCCUCUUUCCCAGUUUCCCCUCUGCAAAUCCCCAAUUUCGUUCCCCCUUACCCCAACCACUCCUGCCUCACCACCCUAGCAUUCCUCUACACUGGGGCAUCAAGCCUUCAUAGGACCAAGGGCCUCCCAUCCCAUUGAUGCCAGAUAAGGGCCCUUCAGCUCCUCCAGUCCUUACCCUAACUCCUCCACUGGGGUCCCUGUGCUCAGUCUGAUGGUUGGCUUGGAGCAUCCAGCAUCUGUAUUGGUCAGGAUCUGGUAGAGCCUCUUAGGAGGCAGCUGUAUUAGGCUGCUGUGAGCAAGCACUUCUUGGUAUCUGCAAUAGUGUCUGGGUUUGGUGUCUGCAUGUGGGAUGGAUCCCCAGUUGGGGCAGUCUCUGGAUGGCCUUUCCUUCAGUCUCUGCUCCACUCUUUGUCCCUGUAUUUCCUUUAGAUAGGAGCAAUUGUGGGUUAAAAUUUUGGAGAUGGGUGAGUAGCCCCAUUCCUUAUCUGGGGGACCAUGCCUAACCUCUAGAUAAACCUCUAGAUAUGGUCUUGAAAAGUUCUUUUGGUAUAGCAUUGGAAAUGUAAAUGAGCUAAAUACCUAAUAAAAAAUGGAAAGAAAAAAAGAAAAGUUCUCCCUCCCCUUUGUGGGAUAUUCCAGCUAACAUAAAUAUUUUACUCCUAUAUUUAUAGUAAUGAUAAAUUUACUUGUUUCUUAAGGUACUUAUGUUGGACUUAGUUAAAUGUUUGCUAUUAAAGUAAUGAAAUGCAUUUAUAGUAAAGGUAAACGUUUAGAAAAAUAAUUAGUUUUCAAGUUGAUGUCAGAUUAUUCACACACAAAAAAGAAAGUGAUGCACAUUUCUGCUAGUAAGAGAAAUAUACAGGACUGGAGAGAUGGCUCAGUGAUUAAGAGCACUGACUGCUCUUCCACAGGUCCUGAGUUCAAUUCCCAGCAACCACAUGAUGGCUCACAACCAUCUGUAAUGGGAUCUGAUGCCCUCCUGUGGUGUGUCUACAGACAGCUACAGUGUCCUUAUAUAUAGCCUGGCUCAUGAAACUGGAGGGCACUGUUGCUUGUGCUGUUUGUUGCUUCUGCACUUGUGACCUAUACCUGCCACUUACCUUCUUAUAUCUGAUUUCUCACUUUCAGGUGGGAAUAAAUUCAUAGGUUAUACAGAAUAUUAAAUACUCAGUACAAUUAUUAACCAUUUUUCAGUUUAAAUAAAAGUUUAUAAUCAUGUAUGAAAGCAUUUAUGAUGUAAAAAUGGGACAUUAAACCAUGUUGUCUCAGUGGUAGAUCAAAUGCAGAAGGUUCUCACACACGCUAUUGUCUCGCCAGCAAGAACACACUCGUGAGGAACUGGAUCCUUCUGCAGCAACUUUAUUACACCAGUUUCAACAUUAAGAGGAAGACCCCAAGCACCAAAAAGGCGCCGCCUAUAUAUACCUUAGUGUGGUGUGUCCACACCCGAUUGGCUGCUCUCCCAGAGCCUCACCACCACGCCCCAGGAUGGGCAGUGACUUGGCACGAAUUUACUCUUGCACCUGGGCACAUUACUUGUUUACCAGUUAGGCACAGUGGAGGCUCAUGAUGGCAAUUGCUCACGGCUUUCCACAGAAGGUAAAUCCCCAAAAAGCAAGAUAGAAACAAACACAAACACGUGGAAUGG
rnacentral:lncRNA from 1 species